GAUGAAGAACGUAGCGAAAUGCGAUAAGUAAUGUGAAUUGCAGAAUUCAGUGAAUCAUCGAAUCUUUGAACGCACAUUGCGCCCCCUGGUAUUCCGGGGGGCAUGCCUGUCCGAGCGUCAUUACAACCCUCAAGCUCAGCUUGGUGUUGGGCCCCGCCGCCCCGGCGGGCCCUAAAGUCAGUGGCGGUGCCGUCCGGCUCCGAGCGUAGUAAUUCUUCUCGCUCUGGAGUUCCGGUCGUGUGCUCGCCAGCAACCCCCAAUUUUUUUCAGGUUGACCUCGGAUCAGGUAGGGAUACCCGCUGAACUUAAGCAUAUCAAUAAGCGGAGGA
rnacentral:misc_RNA from 1 species